AAUUCUUUGUAUUGGCAAUGCCAUAUUCAGCGUAUUUUAUUUUGUCGCUGGAAUAUUGAUGUUUUUUGGUAUAAAAUUGGAUAAGAGAUCGAUGUUUAAGGCAGGCAAAAUCCUCAGUUAUUUUUUCCCAUUUUUAAAUGUUCCCAUAUUUGCAUAUAUCCACUGUAUGGCUAUCAGACAACUUUGCCGUUAUGAUCGUGAACGCUGGGGAUAGCUAAUGGUCAAAACUCCCCGUUUUCAUCUGGAU